rnacentral:rRNA from 1 species
GACAGCAGCCGCCGCGGGAAUACAGAGGGUGCGAGCGUUAAUCGGAUUUACUGGGCGUAAAGCGUGCGUAGGCGGCUUUUUAAGUCGGAUGUGAAAUCCCUGAGCUUAACUUAGGAAUUGCAUUCGAUACUGGGAAGCUAGAGUAUGGGAGAGGAUGGUAGAAUUCCAGGUGUAGCGGUGAAAUGCGUAGAGAUCUGGAGGAAUACCGAUGGCGAAGGCAGCCAUCUGGCCUAAUACUGACGCUGAGGUACGAAAGCAUGGGGAGCAAACAGGAUUAGAUACCCCUGUAGUCCCUGUCUCUUAUAA